GAUGAACGCUGGCGGCGUGCCUAAUACAUGCAAGUCGAGCGAACGGACGAGAAGCUUGCUUCUCUGAUGUUAGCGGCGGACGGGUGAGUAACACGUGGAUAACCUACCUAUAAGACUGGGAUAACUUCGGGAAACCGGAGCUAAUACCGGAUGAUAUUUUGAACCGCAUGGUUCAAAAGUGAAAGACGGUCUUGCUGUCACUUAUAGAUGGAUCCGCGCUGCAUUAGCUAGUUGGUAAGGUAACGGCUUACCAAGGCAACGAUGCAUAGCCGACCUGAGAGGGGGAUCGGCCACACUGGAACUGAAACACGGUCCAGACUCCUACGGGAGGCAGCAGUAGGGAAUCUUCCGCAAAGGGCGAAAGCCUGACGGAGCAACGCCGCGUGAGUGAUGAAGGUCUUCGGAUCGUAAAACUCUGUUAUUAGGGAAGAACAUAUGUGUAAGUAACUGUGCACAUCUUGACGGUACCUAAUCAGAAAGCCACGGCUAACUACGUG
rnacentral:rRNA from 1 species